CCAAAACACCGAAGAAAGGCACAAUCGCCUAGAAAGGAACGACCGGACUCAGACUCGGUUUCUUGGUUCCGUCCCAAAACGCCGAAGAAAGGCACAACGACCUAGAAAGGAACAACCGGAGUAAGAACGGGGUCGGAGGACCCGAAAGUGCAUAUCUAACCACUGGGCAGUCCGAUUCUUAGUGAUCUCGAAGUUUCUUGCCCAUAAAAGCCGAACGGUGAUGCUCUAGACUCGGUUUCUUCGUUCCAU
rnacentral:lncRNA from 1 species